ensembl:miRNA MIR23B microRNA 23b
GGGCGGCGCUGCUCUCAGGUGCUCUGGCUGCUUGGGUUCCUGGCAUGCUGAUUUGUGACUUAAGAUUAAAAUCACAUUGCCAGGGAUUACCACGCAACCACGACCUUG